rnacentral:rRNA from 1 species
GCCAGCCGCCGCGGUAAUACAGAGGUCCCAAGCGUUGUUCGGAUUCAUUGGGCGUAAAGGGUGCGUAGGUGGCCUGGUAAGUCGGGUGUGAAAUCUCGGAGCUUAACUGCGGAACUGCCAUUCGAUACUGAUAGCCUUGAGUUUGGUUAAGGUAGGCGGAAUAUGUAAUGUAGCGGUGAAAUGCUUAGAUAUGACACAGAACACCAAUUGCGAAGGCAGCUU